AACGAAAAUCUUGGUGUCGUUGUUUUCUCUACAAGUUUAUUUGGAUAACGAGAAAGGCGUUAUUCACACGGUGAUCACCACGGGGAUUGUAAGCUUGGACUGUAGUUUUUCCGGUAUCGAUUGUUGAGCAAGUCCUGUUCCUGACGGCCUACUUCGUGUCUUGCCAUGGACGAGUAUCCAAGCAGCAUUCAAGAAACACUAUCGGCUUUGUUUACCCUCUAUUCGAGUGGAGGCAAUCAUGUUGAUCCUGGUUGGUCUGGAAGACAAGUGUAUCGUUAGCCCUCGAAGCAGCUGCAGACAUACUUACUGCCAAAGGCUUACCAGUUUUAUCAACUUUUCU